UACGGGAGGCAGCAGUGGGGAAUAUUGCACAAUGGGCGCAAGCCUGAUGCAGCCAUGCCGCGUGUAUGAAGAAGGCCUUCGGGUUGUAAAGUACUUUCAGCGGGGAGGAAGGCGAUGCGGUUAAUAACCGCGUCGAUUGACGUUACCCGCAGAAGAAGCACCGGCUAACUCCGUGCCAGCAGCCGCGGUAAUACGGAGGGUGCAAGCGUUAAUCGGAAUUACUGGGCGUAAAGCGCACGCAGGCGGUCUGUUAAGUCAGAUGUGAAAUCCCCGGGCUUAACCUGGGAACUGCAUUUUGAACUGGCAGGCUUGAGUCUUGUAGAGGGGGUAGAAUUCCAGGUGUAGCGGUGAAAUGCGUAGAGAUCUGGAGGAAUCCGGUGGCGAAGGCGGCCCCUGGGACAAAGCUGACGCUCAGGUGCGAAAGCGUGGGGAGCAAACGAGGAUUAGAUACC
rnacentral:rRNA from 1 species